rnacentral:snRNA from 2 species
UGUGGCAACUGCCAACAACUAUCACUUCCCGAUAAACUUGGGACGGCGCCGACAGGAUUAGCAUCACCCCUGCGCAAGGAUGACACACGCAUAGAGAAAAAGACUUCAUUUCA